GACGAACGCUGUCGGCGUGCUUAACACAUGCAAGUCGAACGGAAAGGCCCUGCUUUUGUGGGGUGCUCGAGUGGCGAACGGGUGAGUAACACGUGAGUAACCUGCCCUUGACUUUGGGAUAACUUCAGGAAACUGGGGCUAAUACCGGAUAGGAGCUCCUGCUGCAUGGUGGGGGUUGGAAAGUUUCGGCGGUUGGGGAUGGACUCGCGGCUUAUCAGCUUGUUGGUGGGGUAGUGGCUUACCAAGGCUUUGACGGGUAGCCGGCCUGAGAGGGUGACCGGCCACAUUGGGACUGAGAUACGGCCCAGACUCCUACGGGAGGCAGCAGUGGGGAAUAUUGCACAAUGGGCGGAAGCCUGAUGCAGCAACGCCGCGUGCGGGAUGACGGCCUUCGGGUUGUAAACCGCUUUCGCCUGUGACGAAGCGUGAGUGACGGUAAUGGGUAAAGAAGCACCGGCUAACUACGUGCCAGCAGCCGCGGUGAUACGUAGGGUGCGAGCGUUGUCCGGAUUUAUUGGGCGUAAAGGGCUCGUAGGUGGUUGAUCGCGUCGGAAGUGUAAUCUUGGGGCUUAACCCUGAGCGUGCUUUCGAUACGGGUUGACUUGAGGAAGGUAGGGGAGAAUGGAAUUCCUGGUGGAGCGGUGGAAUGCGCAGGUAUCAGGAGGAACACCAGUGGCGAAGGCGGUUCUCUGGGCCUUUCCUGACGCUGAGGAGCGAAAGCGUGGGGAGCGAACAGGCUUAGAUACCCUGGUAGUCCACGCUGUAAACGGUGGGUACUAGGUGUGGGGUCCAUUCCACGGGUUCCGUGCCGUAGCUAACGCUUUAAGUACCCCGCCUGGGGAGUACGGCCGCAAGGCUAAAACUCAAAGGAAUUGACGGGGCCCCGCACAAGCGGCGGAGCAUGCGGAUUAAUUCGAUGCAACGCGUAGAACCUUACCUGGGUUUGACAUGGAUCGGGAGUGCUCAGAGAUGGGUGUGCCUCUUUUGGGGUCGGUUCACAGGUGGUGCAUGCCUGUCGUCAGCUCGUGUCGUGAGAUGUUGGGUUAAGUCCCGCAACGAGCGCAACCCUUGUUCACUGUUGCCAGCACGUUAUGGUGGGGACUCAGUGGAGACCGCCGGGGUCAACUCGGAGGAAGGUGGGGAUGACGUCAAGUCAUCAUGCCCCUUAUGUCCAGGGCUUCACGCAUGCUACAAUGGCUGGUACAGAGAGUGGCGAGCCUGUGAGGGUGAGCGAAUCUCGGAAAGCCGGUCUCAGUUCGGAUUGGGGUCUGCAACUCGACCUCAUGAAGUCGGAGUCGCUAGUAAUCGCAGAUCAGCAACGCUGCGGUGAAUACGUUCCCGGG
rnacentral:rRNA from 1 species